ensembl:lncRNA
AAUGCAUUGCAUUACACGUUGGGGAGACAGUAGACACGGACCAAAGCCGCAUAAACCCUUGAGAGUAGAGACUGGAACGACGUCCUCCGGGAAAUACCUUCCCAGAGUUAUGCCUUCAAUUGAGGUCUCCAUUUUCUAUCGAUUGUCUCCACAUCUCCAUCUGAGGCACCAUCCGAAUCCAGGCAGAAAUCUCAAGAGUUCUAAAGUAACAGGGGCUACCGAGGAAACGUGGGAAAACAUCCAGGACUGUGAAGGAGUUUUCCUGGUCUUGAACCAGUGUCUGGCGGUAUUGAAAUGUUGCCCUCAUCUUCUCUUUCGACAAUUGUUGCAUCAGUCGUGUGCUUCAAUAAAGAGAUCGCCUCGCGGCAUUCCUCACCAAACAGUUGCUUGUCAGUUAGGAGACAAU